GUGAUGGUCACGGGGCGACCUAAGGGG
rnacentral:sRNA from 1 species